UGUAAUCGUAUGCGCUUUUGUUUGGCGCCAAGAGAAAACAGAGUCAGAGGUGUAUAGAGGACUACAGGUCGAGCAUGUGGAUGAGUUGUCUAUGCCAUCUAAACCAUGGAUUCAAAACCCUUCACAAGUCCUGGGGAUUCACUUUCCAGAGCAGAUGAUGAACUAGACAACAUUGCACUGCUCCAAGAUGCUGUGCCACAGUUGAAUCACUCAAUAUUAG